rnacentral:misc_RNA from 1 species
AGUUGCCAAGAGCUAAGACACCACCGCCUGUGCCCCCACUGAGCGCUGCAAUGGAUCCCGCCUGUUCCUAUCUCGAAACAGUUACAGCAGCAGGAACCGCUGGCCUCGUUUUGGAUUCACCUUUUCACCCGCUAUGGCAUUGGUAAACUCAUGAAAGUUAGCAAAUAGAGGCGGCACACCGAAAACUGGAACGACCCAGCUACUUGAUGACAUUCCAAAAUGGAUAUAUCACAUCAUGAUCUUGAUGGUGAUGUGGCUUACACUAGGUGUCAUCAAUUCUGCAAUCCUCACAGUCUCGGAUGACCGGUCGUCAUAGCAACGCAUCGACAUGGUGACCACCGUUGUUAUACUAAAGCCUGGUCACUUCUUCAAGUACUGCUGUCUGCUGCUGGCUCUGCUCGUCACCCUGGAGUUUGUCUUCAACUUCGCCGCUCACUACAACGUCUCUGCAGGGCUGUCACUGUUUAUCAAUGCCGUCGUGCCCAUUUCCUGGAAGAAGAUGAGGUCUGGUCGCCAUGGCGUUGUACACGACGACUUCACUCAGUGUGUCAGUCACAAACCACUGUGUCCAGAAGUUCCUCCUCACUUAGAUGGCUCUAUAAAAGUGAAGAAGAAGGCACUGAGUUUUCGUCUGCUGGACAACAUGAACUCUGACCUCCGACCUGGAGGUCGCUGGUGUCCGCCCGGCUGUGUGUCGCGACACCACGUCGCCGUCAUCAUUCCGUAUCGAGAUCGACCGUCACACCUGAAGGUUUUUCUUCGGAAUAUUCACCCCUUUCUACAGAAACAGCAGCUCGAUUAUACAGUCUACGUUAUUGAACUGGUGCCAAACAUUCCGUUCAACCGAGCACUGCUGUUCAACAUUGGAUUUGUGGAGUCUGUCAAACAACACAACUAUUCCUGCUUCAUUUUCCACGAUGUCGACCUCAUUCCCGAGAAUGACAGGAAUCUCUACAUCUGUAGUGGAGAGCCUCGACAUCUGUCUGUCGCCAUUGACAAACACAAAUACAGAUUGCUGUAUUCCACUAUAUUUGGUGGUGCCAUUGCCUUGUCGAGAGAACAUUUCAUCAAAGUUAACGGUUUCUCCAACAAGUAUUUCGGCUGGGGAGGGGAGGAUGACGACAUGUUUAAGAGAUUACAGCGUCAGAACAUGUCCAUUAUUCGAUAUUCGUCUGAUGUCGCAAGAUACAAGAUGCUUGCUCACCCUAAAGAUGUUCCAAACCCCAACAGAUUAAAGCUGCUGUAUGAAGGGCUGAAACGAUUCCACCGAGAUGGCAUCAACAGUCUGCGGUACACUGUCGUAAAGACGGAAUUCAGAAGACUCUUCACGUGGAUCCUCGUUAGCGUCAACCCAGACGAUGUCAUGAAGGAAGAGAACACUACAGAGGCCACACAUAAUACCUGACAACAUGUAACCACCCACUCGAUCCGUGAUUUUACAAGCGGAAUUGCUGUGAACAACAGCUGUUGAGUUAGAAUAUUUCAGCUCAGAGCUUGAUAUUGUAACAAGCACUGACAACACCAGGACUUACCUUUCCCAUAGGCAUAGGCUGGGGAGGGUGUGUGUGUUCAAAUGACUUCCCAGAUAAGGUGAAAGGAUAUUGAUAGACGGAAUGGACGGUUUUACUUGUUGGAAACCCAGGUCCAUAUACCUGGUAGGUAGAGCAUUAUCACCAAGAUUACUAUAAAGGAUAUGUAUGUUCUAUCAUGGAUGUUAAUAUUGUGUAUGCCAUUAUAUAUGUAUACAUGUGUUGGUAUAUAUUAAUAUAUAUAAUGUAUAUUGGUAUGUGUUAAUGUAAUAUGUAUGACAUAUUAUAUAUGUGAAAUAAGGAUUAUGUACUCUUUAUUGUUAAACUUCAAAAUGUAAUUAUGUUAAUAUUUCUGUAACUAAUAUUUAUAUAUUUUAUAUUUAUAGGGCUUAUAUUUUUAUUUUUAUGAUGAACUUCGAACCCUAUGAAUAAACCAUCAAGAACGA